UACGGAGGGUGCAAGCGUUAUCCGGAUUCACUGGGUUUAAAGGGUGCGUAGGUGGGCAGUUAAGUCAGUGGUGAAAUCUCCGGGCUUAACCCGGAAACUGCCAUUGAUACUAUCUGUCUUGAAUACCGUGGAGGUGAGCGGAAUAUGUCAUGUAGCGGUGAAAUGCUUAGAUAUGACAUAGAACACCAAUUGCGAAGGCAGCUCACUACGCGAAUAUUGACACUGAGGCACGAAAGCGUGGGGAUCGAA
rnacentral:rRNA from 1 species